UGAUACUAACUUGGCUGACUCUGUAGCAUCACGUGGCCUUUUUAAACCCGCCUCAAAAUGGAUCUCCAUUCUUCCUCCUUUAGAUUUUGUUAAUCUGUCAAGCAUUAUCCCUGAUGUCUGUGUGACGCCCGGAUAAUUAAGCUACAGUAAUCCCUCGUUAACGAUGCCACGUCACCCCGUUACUGUUGAUAAACUCUCGAUGGUUCAGAACCGAAACAAAUUCAAAAUUUAAAUAAAAGCAAACAACAAAAGUUUUCAGAUGUUAAAACUAAAAUGUUCGGAUCGUGACAAAUAUUGCGUAGGUAGUUAUGGUGAAGAAACAACAUUUUUAUAAAAAGUUUAAAUGCACUUAAAUGAUUAAAACAGUAGGUAAAACUAUUAAAUAAAUGCCUUUGAUAUUUUAUAAAAUCAUAAACUAUUUUAUCUUGAGGUAAAACUUUUUAGGGUAGUGGGUUGUUUUGGAACACUAAUUUGGAGCUAUUGUCAUGUUUUACUGAACUAAGAAUAAAGUGUAACUAAAAUAAAACAGAAAAGGAAAAAGAACUAAAACUAAAACAAACAAAAAAAAGAAAACAAAAUAAAAACAAAAGCCCCCCNNNNNNNNNNNNNNNNNNNNNNNNNNNNNNNNNNNNNNNNNNNNNNNNNNNNNNNNNNCGCUCAAGCCCCGCACCAUCCGGCGACCUGGCGGCCGUGGAUGAGCCGCCCGCCAGCGACGACCUCCGCCACCUCGCCUCCCCGCGUCGGCCUCGACAACCCCGGCCCGAGCCACCACCCGUGGCCCCAUCACCGGACCGCCGCCGCCCGGAGCUGACCUCGCCUGACGCUGCCCCGCCGUCGCCGCGUCCCCGUCCUCCUCCCCGCCGGACUGCGUCCGCCUCCCCGACACGGCGACGACGCCUCGUCCCCAUCCUCCUCCACAACGGUCGCCCCGAGCCUCGCCGCCCCGCUUCUCUCCAACGCCGGUGAGGCCACCUCCGGCCUCCAGUCCCUUCUCCCUUCCCCGCGCCGUACCCGCCCGCUGCCCGCCUCGCAUCGCCCCACCGCGCCUGUUCCGGUAGCCGCCCGUGCCGCCGCGGAUGUCGACUCCGCCGUCGACGCCGGCCAAGUCCGGCCGCCCCGCGACCACCGGUCGACGUGGUCGCCCCCUAGCUACCCAUCGGUCCCCUUCGCGCAUCGAACCGACGCCCGUAGCGCAAGCCCCGACGGGUUCCCGCGUUGCUGCCGUCGCCGGCGCACUGUAACUCCUCGCCGGCGUUAACCACGAUGACGUGGACGUCAUUAACCCCCCUAACCAAAUCCCUAACAGCCACUGACAUCGGACCCCACAGUCCUAAUUAAUCUCAUCGGUUUUGUUUAAAAGUCUGUUAAACAAAUCACUCAAUGACACUCGGGCCCCACUGGGCCCUUUGACCAGUCAAACUACUGACUAGGACUAGCCCAGUCAAUGGUAGGUGGGACCCCGUGGCCCACUUUGACCAGUCAACAGGGACCAGCCAACUGCUGACUGAGCAGUCAACUGGGACCCACUGUCAUCCUCACAUACAAAUAGCUGGGUACACUCUCUGUGUACCCGUAGCAAAUUAACAUUUAAUUUCGAAUUAAAACAAUUUAGAAAAUGUUUUAAAACUUUAAAUAUUAAUAAUAAAUAAUAAAAAUAAUAAAAUAAAUAAAUAAUUAAAAUAAUAAUAAUAAAGAUAAUUAAUUAACUUAAUUAAUUAACUUAAUUAAUCCUGUUAAGUUAAACUAAUUAAACUUAAUUAACCUAAUAACUAGUUAACCUAAUUAAUCACUGUUAAUUAGCUAAACAGUCCAAAUUUCGAAUUAAAUUAAAUAAUUAAUUAAAUUCCAGAAAUUAAUAAAAUCUUUAGAAAAUCAUAUCUUUUAAUCCGUAACUCGGAUUAAAAUANNNNNNNNNNNNNNNNNNNNNNNNNNNNNNNNNNNNNNNNNNNNNNNNNNNNNNNNNNNNNNNNNNNNNNNNNNNNNNNNNNNNNNNNNNNNNNNNNNNNNNNNNNNNNNNNNNNNNNNNNNNNNNNNNNNNNNNNNNNNNNNNNNNNNNNNNNNNNNNNNNNNNNNNNNNNNNNNNNNNGAUGUCAUAAAUCCAAAUUUCGAAUUAAAUUAAAUAAUUAAUUAAAUUCCAGAAAUUAAUAAAAUCUUUAGAAAAUCAUAUCUUUUAAUCCGUAACUCGGAUUAAAAUAUUUUCAACAUGAAAGUUGCUCAGAAUGACGAGACGAAUCCGGAUACGCAGUCCGUUCGUCCACCACACCUCCCUAACCUAUCGAACUCGCAACUUGCCCCCUCCGGUCCGUCUGUCCGAAAACGCGAAACAUCGGGAAUACUUUCCCGGAUGUUCCCCCUUCGCCGGUACCACCUACUGUCGCGUUAGGACACACCUCGCACUGUUCAUUGUCAUGUCACGCAUCGUCAUGCUUAUGUUUGCAUUGUAUUUACUGUUUCUUCCCCCCUCUUCUCUCCGGUAGACUACGAGACCGACACUGCUGCUGCCCAGUUCGACUACGGAGUUGACGACCCCUCCUACUUGCCAGAGCAACCAGGCAAGCCCCCCCCUUGAUCACCAGAUAUCGCCUAUUCUUCUCUAUACUGAUUGCAUUAGAGUAGAGUAGCAUGUUACUGCUUUUCGAUAUCCUAUCCUGAUGCAUAGCCUAUCCUUGCUACUACUGUUGAUACCUUUACCUGCAAUCCUACAUGCUUAGUAUAGGAUGCUAGAUUUCCAUCAGUGGCCCUACAUUCUUGUCCGUCUGCUGUGCUAUACUAUCGGGCCGUGAUCACCUGGGCGGUGAUCACGGGUAUAUACUAUAUACAUUAUAUACAUGACACAUGUGGUGACUAAAGUCGGUUCGGCUCGAGGAGUACCCGCAAGUGAUUCUGAUGAGGGGGCUGAAAGGACAGGUGGCUCCACCCCGGUAGAGGUGGGCCUGGGUUCCUGACGGCCCCCGACUGUUACUUUGUGGCGGAGCGACAGGGCAGGUUGAGACCACCUAGGAGAGAGGUGGGCCUGGCCCUGGUCGGCGUUCGCGGAUACUUAACACGCUUAACGAGUUCUUGGUAUUUGAUCUGAGUCUGGCCAUUUGGUCUAUACGCACUAACCAUCUACGCGGGAGUAGUUAUGGGUAUCCCGGCGUCGUGGUAUCAGCCGAAGCCUUCUUGACGUCAGCGACUGAGUGGCGCGCGCCGGAUUGGACUGGAACGCCACUAGGCUAGGUCUGCUUCCGGCCGCGUACGCAACGUGCAGGUGUGCAUAGGGCGAUGGGCCCAGACCCCUGCGCGCAUAGGGUUAGACCGGCGUGCUGACCUCUCUGUUGUGCUUAGGUGGGGCUGCGACUCGUUGAUCUUACGAGGCCGGGCAUGACCCAGAAAAGUGUGUCCGGCCAAAUGGGAUCGAGCGUGUUGGGUUAUGUGGUGCACCCUUGCAGGGAAGUUUAUCUAUUCGAAUAGCCGUGUCCCUCGGUAAAAGGACGACCCGGAGUUGUACCUUGACCUUAUGACAACUAGAACUGGAUACUGAAUAAAAUACACCCUUCCAAGUGCCAGAUACAACCCGGUGAUCGCUCUCUAACAGGGCGACGAGGAGGGGAUCGCCGUGUAGGAUUAUGCUAUGCGAUGCUACUUGGAGGACUUCAAUCUUCUCUCUUCUACAUGUUGCAAGAUGGAGGCUGCCAGAAGCGUAGUCUUCGAUAGGAUUAGCUAUCCCCCUCUUAUUUUGGCAUUCUGCAGUCCAGUCCACUGAUAUGGCCCUUUACACAUAUACACAUGCAUAUGUAGUGUAGCUCCUUGCUUGCAAGUACUUUGGAUGAGUACUCACGAUUGCUUUUCUCCCUCUUUUCCCCUUUCUAUACCUGAUUGUCGCAACCAGAUGCUGGAGUCCAGGAGCUAGAGAUCCCGAGGAUGAUUCUACAUGGAGUUCGGCUUCGAGGAGUAGUUAGGAGGUCCCAGGCAGGAGGCCUUGCCUUUUCGAUCGUUGCUACUUUGUGCUAACCUUCUUAAGGCAAACUUGUUUAACUUAUGUCUGUACUCAGAUAUUGUUGCUUCCGCUGACUCGUCUGUGAUCGAGCACUUGUAUUCGAGCCCUCGAGGCCCCUGGCUUGUAUUAUAAUGCUUGUAUGACUUAUUUUUGUUUUAGAGUUGUGUUGUGAUAUCUUCCCGUGAGUCCCUGAUCUUGAUCGUACACAUUUGCGUGCAUGAUUAGUGUACGGUCAAAUCGGGGGCGUCACGUGAAGACCCUUAAGAUACUCUCCGCUGAUAACCCGAGAACUUGUGUUUAUCGCUUUUGGAAUUCCCUUUCAUCGAUAAACUCCUAUGGAUAACCACGUAUACUCGCCACUCAUACAAUGUUUCCCAGUUGAUCUUGUUAUUACAAGAUACCCCGAAAUUCUCUUUGCUGCUCCGAGAAUCUUUUGAGCUUACUGCCUUGCUGUUCUUUGCCACAUGAAUACCACUACGGAUAAUUUCUCGCACUUACCGAGUAUCCGGUCAUCCCCAGUUGAUUCAAGUAUUCCACAAUAGUCUUCAAAAUACUAUUCGAUCUUUCGAAAAUCCUCAGGAGCCUAUUGCUCUUGAAAUUCUUGUUUGCUUGCAUUAUGGUUAAUCCCAUAAGUCUCGUAAUCUUAUUGGCAUCUCUUGUCAUUAUCAUUUUGAGUCCGUUGAUUCAAUUUGUUGCGAAUGCUCUCAAUCCUCAAUCAUAUCCUAGAAUUCAUUCUUCCGGCUCAGACGACAUUUUAAACGUGAACUGGAUCUCGACCUAUCAAAUUGCCAUCGAUUGUACCCCUAAGCCUACUCAACUUAUCCAUCCUUGAUCAGAGCGUUGCUUCUGACCCCAUGAUUUGGACAUCAUAAUUCUUUUGCAUUUGAACUUUGAGUUAGUCAGUUGCUUCUAUAAUCAGAUCUCCUUGCAUUCUCCUUCCUCUGGUUGAGUACCGAUGCUCACAUCAGAUCCCUUGUGGACCAUCGGUUCCUUUGUUGGAUUUUAUCCGACAGUGUCCUUCAUAAUGAAUAACCUUGUGAGCCUUUCCAUGGGUAUAUAAUGCCUUUGGUAAAUUGUAUCAUCUGUUUUUGAACAAUGCUCUUCUUUCGAGCUUGUAAUAUUUAGUCCGAAGUUUGUGGUAUAUGUUCCUAAGAUGCCUUGAUGGGUUGAACCUAUACCUUCCCUAAAAACCGUAUGAACCCGAAGGUUUUCACAAGCCAUACCCUUCUGGUAUUUUACCAGAUAAUUUUCUACCAUACAACUUCAUCGAACGCGAGAAGUGAAUGAAAGGUUAUGCAUUGAAGAAGUGGGAGUCGACCUUGAACUUUGCGUUCAUGCCCAUGGACCCGAUGAAGAUCUUAUCAUUAAAGCUUUUCUUAAAUUAAAUUGUUCCAUUGGUAUAAGUUCAUCUUAUAUCUGGGAUCUGGCCUUUUUCAAUCAUGGUUCCGACCAUGUUCUCUUUUAAAUACCAUUUCUCAUACAAGUUGAGCACUUGUCUUCUGCAGAGCAAUACCCUAGUCCAGCCUCUACCUUGACCUGUCAUCGAGUAUUACCCCCUGGUAUCUGGAGAUUAUCAUGGAACUGCAUAACUUCUUAUGAGUUCUUCAUCAAGUGCUACAUUCUCACUGAUUCCAAUUUUCCACGGGCUCUGAGUUAUUAGUCACUCGAGAACACCGACAAGUGAAUCGAUUCCGCACUCCGAUUCAAUAACUCUAAGUAAUUCUUGUUGCUUACGAGUUUAAUAAUCUUUCAAGUCAUUACUAGCCUUAUCGGCUAUAUCCUUAUCGUGAAAACUUUUUAACUGUGCUACCCGGUCCUUCCCGGAACACAACUUUCGAUGAUGAGCUAAGCUUACGUCGAUCUUCCUCGUCAUAUUAGUUCGCCUUGAACAACAAGCUUGAUUUCAAGUUUGUGCCGUACCCUUGGUUCCAUUAACCUAUCGCUUUCAUCAUUCCUCUGACUUGAUGUCAUCGCCGAUAGAUUACAUCUUCAUGAAAUCUCUUGACAAAUGUGUCGUGAUCAGCACCAACAUUUUGAGCUCUUCCAGGAUAUCAGUCGAAAUUCAGGAUGAGAAAUACCAUCCUUGCCCCUCGAUGAUUUGUGUUAUCAUCGGCAACGUUAUUGCCCCCCCACUCCAAUUCAGACUUGAUCAUGAUAUGGAGCUCUUUCCUAUCUAGCUUAUGUUAUGUUCUACAUUGAAGUAUUACUGUCCUUCAGGUUAAGGAUAUUGUGAGAAUUUCUCCACCUCUUGAGAAUUCUUGAUAUAGUAAUACUUCUCGCCAUCUCCAUUUGUUUUAUGAUCCCCGUGUUGUUUCUAACCUGAAUACCGACAAUUGAACUAUGAUGUGCGACUUCAAAACUUCUAGCAACCCUAUUGCUUUGAAGUUAAUGGUCGAUAUUUCAUUCUUAGACCAUUGGUUAUCGAAUCACCGUUCUAACAUUGAUCAUUCUACCUAAGCCCAUAUUCGGGUGCACCUAACAACCAAUGUUUAGCUGUGUAUGUUUUCCUCGAGCAUACAUCAUUAAGUCAUUCGAUCUAGCUAAUGUUAUCUCCUUGUUCACAUAGUGGUGGAAAUCCAUCUUUUGGAAAUCUCAAUGGAUUGUCGCUGAGUCAAUCAGUCACCUCCUCACCUCUCCUUGAUGAAAUGAACCCUUGUUCGGAACUCGCUUCCAUAGUUCAUCUCCCGAGAAUCUUCGAUGUCGUUUCGACAAUUUGUGUUGCACCUUUCUUCUCAGGCAUCCCGAGUCUGAGUUAUCCUGACACCAAUCAGAUCUGAAUCUCGGUCAGAUAUGAUGGUUGGAACAUAUUUCCAAGAGUUAUAACAUUGGCCUAUUUAUGACCCGGUAAGGUGAUGAUACCCAGCACACCUGACGGGAGGACCUAUUGCUAUAAGUUUUCCCUUUUAGCAAGGUUAGCUGUUGUUCCAUAAGGAAAUUGUAAGACUUAUUCUAUAAGUUGUUCCUGAUGGAUCCUUUUUGUUUCCAAAGUCUAAUCUUCACCUGUUGACCAUGUCAAUGCUACCUCGAAGCAUGUCUAUGCUACUCCGAUUUUCAACAGGAACAUUUGAAGCCCAAUGCUAAAUGUUUCCUGCUCAAUUAUCCAAACACCAUUGUAUGGGUAAUGCCAUGAAAUUUCUCUCCCCUACCUAAAGAGUUUUCUACAUUAUAUCCUGUCAUGAAUAUCAUACUCAGCUUGUCCUUGGGAAGGAUAUAACCUUGAAAUAUGUGUUUAAACACAUUUUCCUUUCCAUUCUUCUGUUUAAUCUGAUAAUCAUAUUUUCCUUUCCAUUGUGUGGUUUAACCUUUCUGGUGAACUAUAUGAUCUAAGCAGUAAUAUUCUCCUGCUUAUGUAAACACCUCGGUGUACAACUCUGUCAGUAAGACCCUGUUAUUAUUGUUGGUGACAUUUCGGUAACCACCGAUGGACGAGAACUUUGCCUAAUGGUCCGCCUCGUUUCAACGAGCAGGAAAAUGGUUCUCUUCGUCCCUCGCCCUUGGUACCGACGAUGUUGCUGACAUAUAACUGACAGGCUACCCUCUGCCAUGCCUUGCUAUCAUGAUCGUGCAAGAUAUCACCGCCCUUCCUAUUUUAACCCACAUGGUGGGCCCAUAACCCACAGUUCUACAGGAUCGAAACCUGACUCUCCUGUGCACCCCCUGUUCCCAAAUUUAUUCAUCGCGCGUGGCCUCGUAUGUAAUUCACGGGCCACCGUCCCAAGUGAUCAAUUCUGGUAUCGGACACAAUACUUAUUCCCGUUGCUCUGAACCCCUUUUCACUCUGUUUCAGGCAAUGAACGAUUGCCUAUCCGCUCGAAACUUCUUAUUGCACUGUCCUACUCUGCUCUCGAUGUGUUUCAUUUGUUCAACUCGAGAGAUACUCAUAUGUUCAUUCUUGGGAUAACCCCCCAGAUGAUUUUCCCUAAUAACAUCCUAUCGUUGAAGAGCUGCCCCUUACCUAUUCGUAAGUACGAUGGAGUUCCCCGAAGAAAGGACGACAACAUCAUCAUGAUGCAUAGGAAUAAAGAAUUGAAGACAUCAAUGAAAGGGAUUAACUUCUUCGAGAAGAUCCGUUCUAAUUUCGUAACCAGAACUUUCCCCCUUACCCCACCUCCUAAAUCUCGGGACGAGAUUUCUUGUAGUGGAGGAGAAUUGUGAUGCCCGGAUAAUUAAGCUACAGUAAUCCCUCGUUAACGAUGCCACGUCACCCCGUUACUGUUGAUAAACUCUCGAUGGUUCAGAACCGAAACAAAUUCAAAAUUUAAAUAAAAGCAAACAACAAAAGUUUUCAGAUGUUAAAACUAAAAUGUUCGGAUCGUGACAAAUAUUGCGUAGGUAGUUAUGGUGAAGAAAUAACAUUUUUAUAAAAAGUUUAAAUGCACUUAAAUGAUUAAAAUAGUAGGUAAAACUAUUAAAUGAAUGCCUUUGAUAUUUUAUAAAAUCAUAAACUAUUUUAUCUUGAGGUAAAACUUUUUAGGGUAGUGGGUUGUUUUGGAACACUAAUUUGGAGCUAUUGUCAUGUUUUACUGAACUAAGAAUAAAGUGUAACUAAAAUAAAACAGAAAAGGAAAAAGAACUAAAA
rnacentral:lncRNA from 1 species